GCACAGCUGAUGUAGCGGUAUCAUGCAAGAUUCCCAAUCUUGCGACCCGGGUUCGAUUCCCGGCUGGUGCA
rnacentral:tRNA from 1 species